UACGUAGGGUGCAAGCGUUGUCCGGAAUUAUUGGGCGUAAAGAGCUCGUAGGCGGUCUGUCGCGUCUGCUGUGAAAACUCAGGGCUUAACCCUGAGCUUGCAGUGGGUACGGGCAGACUAGAGUGCGGUAGGGGAGAUUGGAAUUCCUGGUGUAGCGGUGGAAUGCGCAGAUAUCAGGAGGAACACCGAUGGCGAAGGCAGAUCUCUGGGCCGUAACUGACGCUGAGGAGCGAAAAGCAUGGGGAGCGAACAGG
rnacentral:rRNA from 1 species